UACGGAGGGGGCUAGCGUUGUUCGGAAUUACUGGGCGUUAAGGGUGCGUAGGCGGCUGUCCAAGUUGGGUGUGAAAGCCCCGGGCUCAACCCGGGAUGUGCAUCCGAGACUGGGCGGCUAGAGUUCGGGAGAGGUGAGUGGAAUUCCCAGUGUAGAGGUGAAAUUCGUAGAUAUUGGGAAGAACACCGGUGGCGAAGGCGGCUCACUGGCCCGAUACUGACGCUGAGGCGCGAAAGCGUGGGGAGCAAACAGG
rnacentral:rRNA from 1 species